CACUCUACCCUCUCGUCGUUUCUCAUUGAUCACAUCGCCAGCAUUCAACGGCCGUCGAUACGACACAAGUCUCUCUCGUACUGUCUUAAACGAACCUACGACUUCCUCCUCAUUAUCAUCAAGCUUAAAGUGCUCUUUUUCAGGUUUGCGUCGAUAUACCGUGAAUGCCUGAGAGAGUAAUCUGACGCAACAUGGGUUUUGACAAUGAGUGUAUAAUAAACAUCCAAUCUCUUGCUGGCGAGUACUUUUGUCCUGUUUGUCGAACCCUUGUGUAUCCACAUGAGGCACUCCAGACACAGUGUACUCAUCUAUACUGCAAACCUUGUCUGGCAUAUGUUGUAAGCAGUACUCAGGCUUGCCCAUAUGAUGGAUACCUGGUAACCGAAGCUGGUUCAAAGCCACUCAUGGAAUCCAACAAGGCUCUGGCAGAAACCAUUGGGAAAACCACUGUACAUUGCCUCUAUCACAGGAGCGGGUGCAUGUGGCAAGGUCCUUUAUCUGAUUGCACGACUCACUGUUCGGGAUGUGCCUUUGGCAAUUCUCCAGUUGUAUGCAACCGAUGUGGAAUACAAAUUGUGCAUCGUCAAGUGCAGGAGCAUGCUCAGACCUGUAAUGUUAAUGGUACAAAUACUCAACCACAGCAAGGGUCUGAGACUGCACAGGAUCCUGCAGUAUCUGGAGCUGCUGUGUCCAUUGAUCAAACCAAGACUGCUAAUCAAGUAGCAGCACCAGCUUCCCAGCCACAGGCAUCUCAUACUGCUACCGCACCGGCUUCUGCUCAGAAUCCCAAUCAGCCAGCAACAGCAAAUCCUGUUCCCCAAGCCAUGCCUGCAAAUGCUGUUCCAACACCUGAACAGUGGUAUCAGCAACAGUAUCAGCAAUAUUACCAACAGUAUCCUGGAUAUGAUCCAUACCAGCAGGCUUAUCAACAAUACUACCCGUAUCAACAGCAGCCUGCUCAGCAAUUCCAGCAGCCACCUCUACAGGUACAGGGGCAGGCACAAAACCAGGUUCAGGCCCAGCCUCAGCCUCAGCCUCAGCCUCUGCCUCAACCACAACUUCAGCAGCAAAUGCAAACCCCUAUGCAACUUCAACCACAAGUGCAACCACAGCCAGUUCAGCCCCAGGCCCAAAACUAUCCUCUGACACAAGCCCAGGGCCAUAGUCAACCACAACCCCAGACACACUCUCAAGCCCAGCCACAAAUUCCAUCCAACGGACAACCUCAACCUCUAUAUCCUCAGGCUGUGGUGGUUGGCUCAAAUCAAAGCCAGGGUCAAGUGAAUCCACCACAGCAAGCUCACCCAGGAGGUCAGCCACAUGUGCCAAUUCAGUCACAGGUACAGCCCCUUGCCCGUGGCCACAUGCCUCCACAGCCAUACUCACAAGCCCAGCCACAUCCGGUUCAAAAUCAUGCUCAACCACAUAUGCAAGUGCCUCAAUAUCAGCAACCUCAUCCACAGAUGCAUCAUCCUCAGCUUCCUCAGGUGCACCCUCAUUCUCAAACACAAUCGCAACCUCAACCUCACCCACAAGCGCAUCCACAUUUCCAACCACAUCCUCAGCCUCAAUCCCAACCUAUUAAUGCUCAGCAUCCUCCAGUCCAAUCUAUGGGUGGUCAUCCCUCUUAUCCCUCACAGCCUCACCAGCAAAUCCAGCAUGCCCCACCACAGCAGCAUCCUAUGCAACUGCAGCCAUCAACUGGGUCUUUACCGCCAGGUCAAAUGCCUGUUCAGUUCCCACAACCACCUCCUCAUAUGCGUCCUACUCAACCUCCUCAUAUGUUGCCUUCACAAGGCCAAACUCCAGGAAUCCCACCCAUACAACAACACAUCCAUCCUCAUAAUCAGCCUGGCUUACCAGCUCAUCAGCGUCCUGCUGUGCCUCCGGUUCAGCAACCAAUGCCUCAGCAAUACGUGCAGCAGCCUCAAGUAUUUGCAGGACAAGCAUCAGGAGGUCAGCCACACCAAGCUGGUCCUUUUGCACAGCAGCAUUCUCAGGUACGUCCACAGGGUCCACCUCAGCCAAUGCAGCAACCUCUUGGAUUUGUUCAACCGCAGCAGGGUACGGCAUUGCCACAUGGCAUGCCACCUCAUUCAUCUCAAAGCUACGGGGGAAGACCCACUAUGUUGAAUCAGGGAAGUCAGUCACAGCAUUUCCCUCAAUCUUCUGGUGCAGCAGGUAUUGCACCACAUGCCAGACCACCACAAUUUGGCCCGAGCCAGCCUUCUGUAAAUCAGAGUAAUGUAAACAUGACCAGCCAACCACAUGUAUAUUCAGAGCAGCACCUUAACCAAUAUAUGCCACCUUUGGGUGGUGCAAUGGUGGACAGAAAAGGUGAUCAAACAUUUGAAAGAAGGGCUGAACAACAAGAAGAUAAAUCACCAUCCCUGAAGAAGUCCGAGCCAGUGGCUAAUGAUUUUGGUCCUAAUUUCAAUGAAGUAAAACCUGAAACCGGCAUGAAUGAUGAACGUAAGCCUGGAGGUGGGAGUGAAGAUGACCAUAGGAAAGACGAAGCAUUGAGCAAGGAUGCUGUCUCUGAGUUGCAUCAGGUCCAGGGGGUUCCAGGUGAUUCUGUUACUGUGCAAAGAGUGAAAGUAGAGAGCAAGGAUGGUGUUGUAGAUCAUUCUCCUGGUGGGAAGUUGAGUCACAAUAAAGCAGAGGAUGUGGGAGUUGCCACCAUAGACUCCGUGAAACAAGGGGAGGCAAGUGUGAACUUUCAGGGUUCUUCUGAGGUUGAUAAUGGAUCCCUUUCUGUUCCUCCUGGAAGUUCUCAGGGUCCUCUUAAUGGUAGAGAUCAUGUCCAACAGGACAGAACCUUUAAUCAAUCCCAAACAACGCCUCAAGGUCAGUUUGGUGAUGUGUCUGGUGGAUUUCCGAGCAAGGGCACUGACCAUUCUUCUCACACUGCUCUUACAGAUCAGGGAAGAUCUCCACACCCUCCUGUGCCAUAUGCUUUUUCUGGGCAGCAACAAAGACCUGCUGCACCUUCAUUGUUACAGUCCGCUCCUCCUACUGGACAGACACUGGGGCAACCCCCAAGCCAUAUAAGGCCUCCUGGACAUGGUUAUUUGCCUCAUGGCCCUCCUCCAGGACAACCUGAGCACUUCCAGCCACCCGGACCAAACCAACCUGGUCCCUUUCAUCCUGAGUAUCCAAUGGGUGGACCUCCUGUUCCAGGUUCUGCAUCUACCUUGGGAGUGGCUCCUAAUAAUUUCAGUAACAGCAGGGGCUAUGAAGCACAUUCUGCUGGAUCUCAUGGGCAAUACAAUCAAGGUCAGAUCCCUCAGUCUUCACAAGCUAGGCCUUCCAGGAUGUCUCAAGGUGAGCCAUUGGGACCAUCGCUCAGUUCUGCACCUCUGCCACAUGGGCCCGAUGGCCAAACUGUUCCACGUCAUCCUGGUCCAAUGGAAAAUGAUAUGUACCAAAGCCAGAGGCCGCCUCAUUUUGACAGCAGAAGACCUGAUACCCAUUUCCCUGGAAAUUUAGACCGGGGGCCUUACGGGCAGCCUUUUGGUGUUGAAUCAAAUUCAAUGAGAAUGAAUGGCGCACCCCUGCAAGGUCAUGAUUCGGCAUCAGCACCUGUUUAUCGUGAUGAAAAAUUUAGAACUCCUGCAGGGAUGCAUCCUGAUAAUUUUUCCAUGGGACCAUCUCGUCACCUUGAGCAAGGUGAGUUUAUGGGAGCUCUCAAGCAGUUUCCUGGCCCCCCUCACUUGGGCAGCGAGGACUCUCCAAAGUUCGCGAAUCAUUCAUCAAGGCCAUUGGGUGGAUAUGGAAUGGAUGGACCAUCAAGGUUUCUUGAUAAAGACCCCCAUGGAUAUGGCUAUGAUGCUGGGCAGAGGGUGGAUCCUGGCACUGGAGGACCUCCUUCAGCAUUUUUGCCCCCCUAUCAUUCUGCUGGUGGUUUGCAUCCCAAUGAGUCUGGUGGAAGGCCACUUCCUGCAAGUAUGCAUGAUGAGAACAGAGGGAGGUUCGAUAAUAGUCGCCAGAAUCCUGAUUAUCUUGCACCAAUGCAUGGUUUUGGUCGCCACCAUAUGGAUCGUCUACCGCCCGGUAGUCCAGGAAAUCCAUCACGUUCAUUUGGUAUCCCACACAGCAUCGAUGUUGAUGGUAGAGAGAUGGAAAGGCAUCCAUUUGGUGAAAGAUUCCCAAUGGUGCCUCCGGGUCACAUGCACAGAGGAGAGUUUGAUGGCCCAGGAAAGCUGAGGAGUGGCGAAUUGAGCCAAAUGCAAAGGGGUGAACCUUUUGGCCUGAGGAAUCUAUCUGGUCAUCCUCAUGUGGGUGAGCCUGGUUUUGGCUCCUUCCAAGAUUAUGGUCGUUCAGGGGAAUCAAAUGGGCCUGGGGGAUUCUCUCAUCAACAGCCUUUCGGAGAGUCAUUUGGUGCCAAGUCAACUCGUCCACAUCUGGGCGAGCCAGGGUUUAGAAGUAGUUAUUCGCGUCAAGGGUUCCCAAGUGAUGGUGGAUUUUAUGCAGGUGGGUCUGAUUCAUUUGAUCAGUUAAGGAAAAGAAAGUCGUUCAGCAUGGGUUGGUGUCGCAUUUGCAAAAUUGACUGUGAAAGCGUGGAAGGCCUGGACAUACAUGGUCAGACACGUGAGCAUCAGAGGAUGGCUAUGGAUAUGGUUAUUAGCAUUAAGCAGAAGAGUGCUAAGAAACAAAAAACAUCUAAUGACCAUUCUGCACGUGAGGAGGCAAGCAAGCUGAGAAAUGCUGAGAUUCAUGCUCGUGUCAUAUAGAUUAGGUGAUGAUUGUAGAAAUGAGGAAGGAUCAAAGCAAUACCAUCUUUGGUAUCUUUACAUUUAGCAAUUGGUGACCCACUGUCAGAUGCUCUCUCGGAUGGUUUAUGCUUCUUUUGUUUUUCAGGUUGCUGCUUUGUUAUUCAAGAUGGUUUUUCGGAACUGGGAGUUUCUUUGGAAGUUAGACUUUUCUGUUGAACCUGUCUUUUUUCCGCAAAGCAGACAACCAAAAGGCUGAAAGUCCAGCGGAGAGGUUUACUUGCAAACUUUGUUGGACUUCCUUGGUCACAACUGUGCUGUUGUGUAUCAAAAAAUUGAUUAGAUAAGCAGCAAAAAUUGAUGCACACAGAAGAGUCAGACAUGUGACGCCCACUACUUCAGAACAAGAAACCAUCAGUGGUCAAUGUCCUAUUUACAACUUAUAUUGGAUGGACUUUUCAUGUUACAGUUGAGGUUUUGUACCAUUGUGGAUGUUAAUGGUUUGUGUCUCAAAUCAUAGUAGUUGAGAAGCUUGGGUAAUCCUAUUCAAAUAUUGCAUUUUUUUUUUCUCUAGCUAGCAGCUAUGCAGUUAAUUGUGGUGAAAUAGCGGUUAGCGGUCCUAGGGGAAAUAGCGGUUUUGCUAAUAGCGGCGUUAAUCACCGCAAUUGGGUCGGAAUUUUGACUUGCAAUAGCGGUGUGAAAACCGCAAUUAGGAGUUGGGCUUUAGGUUGUCCUUUUAAAGGGUUCAGAGAAGUUGAUUAAGGGAUUAUAAGCUAGGGGGCUGAUUUUCAUUUGCAAUAUUGGUGUGUAACUCGCUAUUCCUCUCUCAUCUCUUCUAUUCCAGUCUAUAUUUUGCAUCUUCUCUUCACAACAACAUUGUCUUCCAACAUUGGUCGCUCAUCUCUUCCAUUCAUCUGUUCUUAUGUUCAUCUUCGAAAUAUGUAUUAUGUUAUGCAUCUAUUCAUACAUUUAUAUAUAAUUAUAAUGAUUACAUCAACCGCUAUAUGUGGACCGUUAGACCACCGGUUUACCAUCGUGAUGACCGCUAUAUCAAAUCACGAUCCUAACCGCUAUUUCAAUUUUUGACCGCUGUAACAGCAUUGGGUAGCAGAAGUGUUGGUUUAUAUUUUUGGCUAACUGGUUUAUCUUAUUGGUUAACUUGUGAGUGAAAUAGGUCUAUAUCUUUGCAAAAAUAAGAUUAUGUGAAAUGGUAGAUGUAGAUGGGUAUUGGUUAAAGAAGAUGAUAUGCUGACUAGAGAGGGAGAGAGAUUGAUGGAGACAGAGUGUCUCCAUACAUCCAUCAGACUACCAGCACUUAAGCUUUGGGCACUUUGAAUGGAACAUACGCUCAUGUGGAGUUAUUAUCCCUUUUUCAAGUCUAGCAGUUCUUUUUUCUGUCAACUCAAGUAUCCCAAGUGAUUUAUUCUUUUCCUCUAUGAACUAUACUUUUUAGUACAUAUGUAGGCAGAAGGUAAUGUGUGCUGCUAGUGGAACACCACAUUCCAAAAGGUUUAAGCUAUGUUUAGCACAUGAGUAAUCCUUGUACAUCGGGUGCUUCUGUAUUGAGUUGUGGAUGUGGAGAGGGUGGUUGUAUAUGAAGAAAGAAACUACGGAGGUUAUAAAAUGAUACAGGAAAAUGAUUUUUUGCUGAGGAAUAGAAUGUUCUCAAUUUAUAGGAUGUCAUCAAACAUGUCUUUUGAGUAACUGGUAAGGUUACUUCCUGCUUACAAGGCUUUUGGCAGUUGGUUCUGUAUCAUAUAGAGGGUUGAGUUUUAGCGAAGCUUGAAGCAAGUAAUUAUGUUGAGAUUGAAUUUGCCUGUUCAUUGUCACUUCGUAACCGAAACAUUUGAUGUAUUAGUAGUUUGGGCAAAUUUUGAAGCACAGUAUCAUUGCUAGUGUCGCUCCUAACAUUGAUACUUUCAAUCUAUGUUGGUCUACACAAUUGAGUUUCUGGAAACUUUUUAAAUCUGAGUGAUGUUAUCCUGUUCCUUUUAUGCUGUUGGUUCUGCUUCUUCCUCUUCAAUUUCGGCUAUUAUAGAAGUUGCUAUUUCUAAUGCUGUGGUGGUUAUACUAGUAGUCAUGAAGUUAUCAAUGUUUCAGCCAAGAUCGCAUAGAUACUUGGUCUUGUAGAGCAUCUUGCUAAUCUUCCUUUUUGAACUCCAAUUAAUAUAUGAGCUGGAUGUAGAUAGCAGAAUAUUUGCUUCCGAAGAAAUAGGUAACAUCGUUAGCCUUGCUUAUAUGCUUUUGUCCUUUCUUAGAAGACCGCUGUAGCGAGAUCUUUUUCUCUCGUCAGGGUUUGGAAUAAUGUCGCUUUUAUUUUACCGUCCGAGAAGUAAACGGUUAGAAACUUGAUUCUUUAUGAGACCUAGAAUGCAACUGCAGAACUCUAAAUUUCUCCCAAGAAGUAUGUUCACUUUAGGCUCUGAAUUAAAGUUUUUAUCAUCGGACUUCAUUUAUCUCUAAUUUAUAUGUGUGUGUGUAUAUAUAUGUUAUGCAGAAUAAUAGUAAUAAAACACACACACACAUAUAUACAUACAU